UAUACCUGUUUUUAUACAACGUGACAAGAUAUUGUGUGUAGAACUUUGCCCUUAAUGAGUUACACUGUGGGUUUUGCUAUAAAGUGUCUGCUGUAUAUAAUGGUUUUAUGUUAAUAUGUUAUAACAAUCUAGGGACCUUUUCGUGUCAUAUCUUUAGAGCCUUUAAUUAAAAUAGCAUACCAUGAAUUCACCGUGCGGGUGCCGGGUUCAUCGCGUUGCAGAGAGAGGAGCAAUAACAGUGCCUGAGACUUGUGACCCAGAACCCUAUCGUGAUGACACGAUUAUUGACCGCUGUCCAGGAGUAUCUCACAUCCCACCAGCAGAUGCUUAGCAGUCCACCUGCCUUCCCACAGGUAUAGAAAGUUUUUUGGUGCCUUUACCCC